CCUGCCACCCUCCUCCUCUCCCACGUCAAGCUGACCCGCGUUGCUUCUCCGCGCCACCAUCCCAGCUGGAAUUCACUCCCCCACCAUCCCGCUCCGGUUUCCGCGACAAGCGAGCGAGUAAAACCGAGGCGUGCGUGCGGCCUCUGUCGCCGGCGAGGCCAGGCGGCGCCUGGAAAUUACCCCGCUGCCCUCGCCCACGCGCUGGCGCAGUGCGGUGGGGCGUCCCGACGUCCCGUCGUCACGUCGAGGGGGCAGGAGCGUAAAAUCACGGCGCCGCGCUCGCGCGGGAAAUCCGGAAGCGGAGUGGCGUGGUACUGCGGCCCAGGGUGUCGCCCGUCCGUCCGUCCUUGCCAUCUCAGAACCUUUCAAUACAACCACCCCCGAGAGGCCGAGACUAUUGCCAUCCAUCAUCGCACCAGCAGCGGCUCUUCCCCCAUUCCGCGUGGGGGGCUAGGGUUUCCAUCGCGCUCUCCCCGCCUCGCCCCUCGCCGUCGCCGGCCAGGGGCCCCCGAUCGGACCGGCGCCGGGGCCUCCUCGCCGCGGAGGGCUCCGGCCGGCUCGCGCUCGCCGGAUGCGGCCGGUUCCGAGUGUAGAGCAAUGGGGAAUGGAGCCAAGGCCGCUGAUGAUGUUAGGGAAGGGCAACUCAAGCUCAUGGAUCAAUGUCUUGCCGCCACAAGCCCGGCAGUUGUGCAUACUGCUCUUCUUUGGGGCUUGGCAAACCUAACCUGAGUCUCCUCAGGCCAAGACCCAGCGCAGCGACUCCUUGUAAGAGGAGGCAUUCGUCUGCACGUGCCCAUCAACAACUCCUGCAACUAUUCUCCACUAACACCGAUGACCUCGUCCAGGCACUAACCUGUCCUGGAUGAGCUAUGGUGAUACCUACCUACCGAAGUACUAUUAUAGCCAUCACUAAUCUUUCUUCCUUAGUUUCCCUCCGUCUUCACUGCGGUUAUUACCACUAAUAUUAUGUAAGGUUUAUUUUGGUUUGCUGUGAACCAAUUUGGAAAUUGGUGGAUCAUCGUGGUAGUACCAUUUCAUAGUGUUGGAUUCUAGAUGUCUGUACUGACUUCUGGUGCACGAAUGAAUGAAUGACCAGUUAUAUGAC